rnacentral:rRNA from 1 species
GGUGAGUACCGUCAUUAUCUUCCUCAACAACAGGAGUUUACAAUCCGAAGACCUUCUUCCUCCACGCGGCGUCGCUGCAUCAGGGUUUCCCCCAUUGUGCAAUAUUCCCC